UGUUAUUUUUAUUCGAAGGUUUGGAAUCAACUAUAAACUUGUCAAUAAUAAUAAUGGGAAAUUCAAGGGUUUGGAAUCGUUAUACUGCUCCAACCAAACAAAGCUUGUUAACUCCAAAGUCAAGGACAGGAUUUUAAGCAUCG